rnacentral:rRNA from 1 species
AUGGCACAUCAAGGAGGGAGGAGGGACGCCGGCCACCGCGGCAUGAGGAGCAACGGCGACUUGCUCGGCGUCGGCGAAGAUAAGGGCGCGUCCAUUCGGGCGGAGGCGACGGCGGCUCAACUGCGUUCCGCACGUCGUCCCGAGGACGGAGGCAUCGCGGCGUCUUCGCCCUCGCGCAACGGUGGGCGCUGCGCGGGGCCCGAAGGGAACAGGCGAAUGGCAAUUGGCAUGAACAGCAAACAGGACCUAAUGCAAUCAGAAUUGGCGACUGAUACCAUUGUUGGAAUAAUUAUGCAUCUUUGGGAUGCCAUUAGCAGGAACAGGUUGCAUCUAGAUCACCUAAAACAUGAACAGAGAAGGUUUAGGGGAUCAUUACGUGUCACGGCAGUGGACAUGAUCGCCUGCUUGGAUUUGGAAGCGAUGUGGCACAUGCUGGACCUUCCACUCAAGAACCCGAAGCUCAAUCCAUUGGAUGGGGACAAGGUAGUGACCAUGCUGCUGAGUCAUCUGCACAAGGGAACGGUCAUGGUUGGCAGUGGCUCAAAGAUCCUCGGCUUGACAUUCUUGGCUACAGGGGAAUCUUUCCAGCUGAUACAAUACGUAGGUCAUUUGUUCUUUGUGCUUUCUAAAAUUACAUUUGAUAUGGUGCUCAAUAUCUACCGAUGGUCAUUUGAACAUUGUUAUGUUGAAGAGUCUGGCCAUUUAAGCUGGUACCCAGCAAUGCAAUGCAAUGGUGAAGCAAUUCCACUCGAGUACAAUCUUGCAGGCCUGAAUGCUAUUUCAUUUGACAAGGGGUGCUAUAUUGGUCAGGAGCUGAUCGCACGCACACACCACCGUGUCUAUGUCAACCGGAUAUUGAUUCUGCAACCUCUGUUAUCAGAACUCGAGCAGGCUGUUGCUCCUGGCUCAGAUGUCUUGGACGAUGCCUCUGGUAAGAAAGUGGGUACGGUAAGCACUGCUCUCGGCAGCCGUGGGAUGGGUCUGUUGCGGCUCGAAGCAGCACUGAAGGAAAACGCUAUCCUUACCAUCAGUGACAACCAAGAUGUGAGGGUCAAGGCGAUUAAGCCAGAUUGGUGGCCGGCUGAGUGGACAGAGGAUCUGGGCGCCAAUUCUUUCAUAGAGGCGCUAGAGCACAUGUGUUAUCACUUACCACUUCCUGAUAGAAGUUCUGAUAAGUCAAUUCAAGCUCAUGAUGUCUCCGGUAAGAAAGUUGGUAUGGACAGCAGAGCGCAGUCGCUUGAUCCUUGCAAGUAUGUUCCAGUACCUGACCAAAACUUCCACAUUAGUGAAGUGAUAGAAUUCUUCGGAGUUCAUAGAGGCAGACCUAAAGGAUUUGUGCGCCAAGUCUUUCAGAGAGGCACCGUUAGGGAGCCUGACCUAUUUUGUUUCAUCAAGAUUAACCACAGUGAACCUGACCGUGUCCUGCGGUCUAUCAGUUUUUGGACCUAA